rnacentral:rRNA from 1 species
UCACUUUCCAACAACGGAUCUCUCGGCUCUCGCAUCGAUGAAGAACGCAGCGAAAUGCGAUAAGUAGUGUGAAUUGCGGGUGUAUACGUGAAUCAUCGAAUCUUUGAACGCGAAUUGCACUUCCUGGUAUUCCGGGGAGUAUGCCUGUUUGAGGGUCGCCUAAAUAAUACGUCGAUUAGCGUUGCUUUUCUUUCGAAAGUGAUGUUUAUCGGAUUUGAGUCGUCUUUAUUUUUUUUAGUGGAAUGAGGUGGCUUAAAUUCGUUUUUCCGGUAUCA